rnacentral:rRNA from 1 species
GAUGAACGCUGGCGGCGUGCCUAAUACAUGCAAGUCGAGCGAACGGACGAGAAGCUUGCUUCUCUGAUGUUAGCGGCGGACGGGUGAGUAACACGUGGAUAACCUACCUAUAAGACUGGGAUAACUUCGGGAAACCGGAGCUAAUACCGGAUGAUAUUUUGAACCGCAUGGUUCAAAAGUGAAAGACGGUCUUGCUGUCAUUUAUAGAUGGAUCCGCGCUGCAUUAGCUAGUUGGUAAGGUAACGGCUUACCAAGGCAACGAUGCAUAGCCGACCUGAGAGGGUGAUCGGCCACACUGGAACUGAGACACGGUCCAGACUCCUACGGGAGGCAGCAGUAGGGAAUCUUCCGCAAUGGGCGAAAGCCUGACGGAGCAACGCCGCGCGAGUGAUGAAGGUCUUCGGAUCGUAAAACUCUGUUAUUAGGGAAGAACAUAUGUGUAAGUAACUGUGCACAUCUUGACGGUACCUAAUCAGAAAGCCACGGCUAACUACGUG